rnacentral:rRNA from 1 species
AUUGAACGCUGACAGAAUGCUUAACACAUGCAAGUCUACUUGAUUCUACUUCGGUAGUUGAUGGUGGCGGACGGGUGAGUAACGCGUAAAGAAUCUGCCCUUUAGUUCGGGAUAACCUUUGGAAACGAAGGAUAAUACCGGAUAUUAUGGAGACGUCGCAUGACGAUUUCAUGAAAGCUAUAUGCGCUAGAGGAGGACUUUGCGUCCCAUUAGUUAGUUGGUGAGGUAAUGGCUCACCAAGACCGCGAUGGGUAGCCGGCCUGAGAGGGUGAUCGGCCACAAGGGAACUGAGACACGGUCCUUACUCCUACGGGAGGCAGCAGUGGGGAAUAUUGGACAAUGGGCCACAAGCCUGAUCCAGCAAUUCUGUGUGCACGAUGAAGGUCUUCGGAUUGUAAAGUGCUUUCAGUAGGGAAGAAAAAAAUGACGGUACCUACAGAAGAAGCGACGGCUAAAUAUGUGCCAGCAGCCGCAGUAA